CCGUGCCGAAGUGACGGACGUUGGUACCGUAGGUCGCAGGUUCGACUCCUGUCGGGG
rnacentral:tRNA from 1 species